rnacentral:rRNA from 1 species
GAGUUUGAUCAUGGCUCAGAUUGAACGCUGGCGGCAUGCCUUACACAUGCAAGUCGAACGGCAGCAUGAUCUAGCUUGCUAGAUUGAUGGCGAGUGGCGAACGGGUGAGUAAUACAUCGGAACGUGCCCUGUAGUGGGGGAUAACUAGUCGAAAGAUUAGCUAAUACCGCAUACGACCUGAGGGUGAAAGUGGGGGACCGCAAGGCCUCAUGCUAUAGGAGCGGCCGAUGUCUGAUUAGCUAGUUGGUGAGGUAAAGGCUCACCAAGGCGACGAUCAGUAGCUGGUCUGAGAGGACGAUCAGCCACACUGGGACUGAGACACGGCCCAGACUCCUACGGGAGGCAGCAGUGGGGAAUUUUGGACAAUGGGGGCAACCCUGAUCCAGCAAUGCCGCGUGUGUGAAGAAGGCCUUCGGGUUGUAAAGCACUUUUGUCCGGAAAGAAAUCGCACUUACUAAUAUUAGGUGUGGAUGACGGUACCGGAAGAAUAAGGACCGGCUAACUACGUGCCAGCAGCCGCGGUAAUACGUAGGGUCCAAGCGUUAAUCGGAAUUACUGGGCGUAAAGCGUGCGCAGGCGGUUGUGCAAGACCGAUGUGAAAUCCCCGGGCUUAACCUGGGAAUUGCAUUGGUGACUGCACGGCUAGAGUGUGCCAGAGGGGGGUAGAAUUCCACGUGUAGCAGUGAAAUGCGUAGAGAUGUGGAGGAAUACCGAUGGCGAAGGCAGCCCCCUGGGAUAACACUGACGCUCAUGCACGAAAGCGUGGGGAGCAAACAGGAUUAGAUACCCUGGUAGUCCACGCCCUAAACGAUGUCAACUAGUUGUUGGGGAUUCAUUUCCUUAGUAACGUAGCUAACGCGUGAAGUUGACCGCCUGGGGAGUACGGUCGCAAGAUUAAAACUCAAAGGAAUUGACGGGGACCCGCACAAGCGGUGGAUGAUGUGGAUUAAUUCGAUGCAACGCGAAAAACCUUACCUACCCUUGACAUGCCACUAACGAAGCAGAGAUGCAUUAGGUGCUCGAAAGAGAAAGUGGACACAGGUGCUGCAUGGCUGUCGUCAGCUCGUGUCGUGAGAUGUUGGGUUAAGUCCCGCAACGAGCGCAACCCUUGUCUCUAGUUGCUACGAAAGGGCACUCUAGAGAGACUGCCGGUGACAAACCGGAGGAAGGUGGGGAUGACGUCAAGUCCUCAUGGCCCUUAUGGGUAGGGCUUCACACGUCAUACAAUGGUGCAUACAGAGGGUUGCCAAGCCGCGAGAUGGAGCUAAUCCCAGAAAAUGCAUCGUAGUCCGGAUCGUAGUCUGCAACUCGACUACGUGAAGCUGGAAUCGCUAGUAAUCGCGGAUCAGCAUGCCGCGGUGAAUACGU